GGUUCAUUCAAAUUUCUGCCCUAUCAACUUUCGAUGGUAGGAUAUAGGCCUACCAUGGUUUCAACGGGUAACGGGGAAUUAGGGUUCGAUUCCGGAGAGGGAGCCUGAGAAACGGCUGCCACAUCUAAGGAAGGCAGCAGGCGCGCAAAUUACCCAAUCCCGACCGGGGAGGUAGUGACAAUAAAUACUGAUGCAGGGGGUUUAUACCUCUUGUAAUUGGAAUGAGUACAAUUUAAAUCUCUUAACGAGGAACAAUUGGAGGGCAAGUCUGGUGCCAGCAGCCGCGGUAAUUCCAGCUCCAAUAGCGUAUAUUAAAGUUGUUGCAGUUAAAAAGCUCGUAGUUG
rnacentral:rRNA from 1 species